AUUGAACGCUGGUGGCAGGCCUAACACAUGCAAGUCGAACGGUAGCACAGAGAGCUUGCUCUCGGGUGACGAGUGGCGGACGGGUGAGUAAUGUCUGGGAAACUGCCCGAUGGAGGGGGAUAACUACUGGAAACGGUAGCUAAUACCGCAUAACGUCGCAAGACCAAAGUGGGGGACCUUCGGGCCUCACACCAUCGGAUGUGCCCAGAUGGGAUUAGCUAGUAGGUGGGGUAAUGGCUCACCUAGGCGACGAUCCCUAGCUGGUCUGAGAGGAUGCCCAGCCACGCUGGAACUGAGACACGGUCCAGACUCCUACGGGAGGCAGCAGUGGGGAAUAUUGCGCAAUGGGCGCAAGCCUGAUGCAGCCAUGCCGCGUGUAUGAAGAAGGCCUUCGGGUUGUAGAGUGCUUUCAGCGGGGAGGAAGGCGGUGGAGUUAAUAACUUCACCGAUUGACGUUACCCGCAGAAGAAGCACCGGCUAACUCCGUGCCAGCCGCCGCCGUAA
rnacentral:rRNA from 1 species